rnacentral:rRNA from 1 species
ACUCAAAUGAAUUGACGGGGGCCCGCACAAGCGGUGGAGCAUGUGGUUUAAUUCGAUGCAACGCGAAGAACCUUACCAGGUCUUGACAUCUGUAGAAUCCUUACGAAAGUAGGGAGUGCCUUCGGGAGCUACAAGACAGGUGGUGCAUGGUUGUCGUCAGCUCGUGUCGUGAGAUGUUGGGUUAAGUCCCGCAACGAGCGCAACCCUUGCUAUUAGUUGCUAACAUUUCGGAUGAGCACUCUAAUGGGACUGCCCGUGACAAGCGGGAGGAAGGUGGGGAUGACGUCAAAUCAUCAUGCCCUUUAUGAUCUGGGCUACACACGUGCUACAAUGGAUGGUACAGAGAGCAGCAAGGCCGCGAGGCGGAGCGAAUCUCAAAAAGCCAUUCUCAGUUCGGAUUGCAGUCUGCAACUCGACUGCAUGAAGUCGGAAUCGCUAGUAAUCGCGAAUCAGCACGUCGCGGUGAAUGCGUUCCCGGGCCUUGUACACACCGCCCGU